CUGCUCCAGAGGCACAAUGUGAUCCACAAGCAAGAAGGGACGCCAAUAAGGGUCCCCAGGUCCAGUCCUGAGCUGCCCGCUACAGCUACAUUUGCGGUCCCAGGAUGCAUUGAGAACAGCUGCACACAGCGGGAUUCUAAUCACAGCUGGGUCUGAGGAGGCAAUGGAAGCGGGUGCUGGGCUGUGAUUGGAGAGCCUUCCCUACCACUCCAGUGGGUAUUAGCAUUGCUUCCUGGAAAACCCAGAGUAUUUGCGGCUUGCCACAGGGGCUAGACGUCUAUAAACAGAAACAUUAUUCUAGGGUGAAAUUAGCCAAGGUAUUAAAAUGAUAAAUGCAAACUGGAGCAGGCUCGGUAGUUGGGAGAAAGAGAAUAAAGCACCAAUGAUCUGUGAAAUAAUAAACAGCCCAGACCAUUAGAGGAGAGAGCGAGCGGUGAGGCCGCCAGUGGUGACAUGAUAUUUCCCGCAUCCCGGUAUGUCAAAGGGGGAAUUACUGUAUUUUUACCUCAUGCUUCCUUCCGGCUUGUGGGUCUGAGGAGCGUAGGGUAUGCCUUGACAAUUUAAACAACCAGCAUUAGGCGGUGCGCAUUUGAUGUCUAAUUAAGUCCUUCGUGCAGCAGGACCACAAGCACCCUCCGUCAUCGGCAUCGUUAGAGCCUGCUCACAACCAAAAUGCGAAGAUGUAUAAAUCUGCAAUCAAUUCUCAAAAGGCUAGAACGCUAGGAAUUCAUUUCCACAGUGAUGCCCUGGGACUUAUAAGCUGGUUUCAAAUGAUCCCUUAGGAGGGAAUAAGGGCAUUGAUACGCCCCAAGAAUUAUCAAGACAAUAAAAUAUUGUUUAAAAAUAA